UUAAUCAGUGAGUUAUGUAGACCCAGAAGGGCCCAGCUUUGAACUUCAUUAUUGCAGAUUUCAUUGCAAUCACCACUGAUGGAGGCUGGUUAACUGGCUUGUGAUGCAAAAUCACACCAAAAGUGUGGGUUCAAUUCCUGCACCAGCUGAGGUUACUAUGAGAGACUCUUCUUCUCAACAUCUCCUCUUGCUUGAUGUGUGGUGACCCCCGGGCGAAACCACAUGUCUAUUGAAUGAGAGAGCAACCCAAUGGUACUUUUAUGAUGGUGCCAUUGGUGUUUGGUGCGCUGAAUAUUGUGAAAGAUCCUGGUUCUGAUCAGUGUCUAGGAAACAUUACUGUCCAUGGAUUUGUGUGAAUAUUAGAUUCUCUGAGAAUUGACUAAUGAUGUGAAAUAGAGAACUGGAGAUUAUGCAUUAAAAUCUGAUGGAAUGAUUCAAAUUGGCUGAAGUAUAAGAUUUGUGUUGUUGGAAACCUCUGGUAGAAGUCAAGAUAUACCACCCAUUCCACACUUCUGGCUGAAGAUGCUUGCCAUUGUUUUAGCCUUGUCUUUAACGUUAAUGUACGGGGCUCCUAUGAAGUGACUUAUAGCUUUUGACUCGUAAUCAGAGCAAAUUUAGAGAACUGCAGUUUUUCUUGAUAACUUCUGUCUUCUGCGUUCCAUUUCCACAAACCCUUAGCUUUGAGUUUGUAACAUUUAGAUAUCCAUCCCACAACUGAAGAAGCUGUGUGAGAGUGCUCCAAAUAUUCUACUUCAUUUUA